rnacentral:rRNA from 1 species
UACGAAGGGGGCUAGCGUUGCUCGGAAUCACUGGGCGUAAAGCGCACGUAGGCGGAUUGUUAAGUCAGGGGUGAAAUCCUGGAGCUCAACUCCAGAACUGCCUUUGAUACUGGCGAUCUCGAGUCCGGGAGAGGUGAGUGGAACUGCGAGUGUAGAGGUGAAAUUCGUAGAUAUUCGCAAGAACACCAGCGGCGAAGGCGGCGCUCUGGGCCGGUACUGACGCUGAGGAGCGAAAGCGUGGGUAGCAAACAGG